AGCUGCACCUUUUGUUCUAAGUUCUUAUAGGUUCGCUGGAGUAAUUCCUUGGUGCCAAGGACACCAUACCACAUCAUAUUCUUCGUCCGGCUUCUGAAUGAAACACAGUGAGAAAACAGUGGCACAAUGCAGAUCAUUAAGACUGGUAUAGAGAUAACACUUCUUACAGAGAGUCUGGAUCAGGGUCAAUGAAUGGGGUGGCUCCAAAAGGAUCGAUGUUCGCUAGUAACAUUUUGCUGAUGAUUGAGCUUCCAGCGAUGGAGGCAGCAAGUCCAGCUCGUAAACCUGAGGCUGUUUGCCCGAAGCAUAAGUUGCUCCCUGGAUUUGAAGAACUUUGGGGUGGAAGACCGUGCUGGGAUGCUUUCCACCGGCUGCUCAGAUAAGGAUUCUUCACUGAACUCUUCUUCUUCACCUUCCUCCUCUUCGAUGGGUGGCGUUGAGCAGUGGUGGCUUGUCGUGGCUUGUGAUUCAUCACUGAGGGUCUGCAGCAGCGAGUCCAGCUUCUCGUUCAGUACCAGACACUGGAAUGAGAAUGUGUAAACUGUCAGUUACCGACUCCGUGUCGUAAUUUUAGCGCUGCAUGUAGCACACCGCUACACAUUGACCUUUGUUGAGGUGCAGCGUAUUACUCCACAUUUGCGCUUUACUCUUUGUUCGGCUCGACCUAUUUGUGUGAACAGGCGUUCAGCGUCAUGAACAUCAACAAAGCCAGCCACAGAUCCAAGUUAACUGACCAACACCUCAGAUCCAUCCUGAGAAUCACCACAACAAAACUAAAUCCAGACUUUGAUGCGCUGGCUAAAAAGGGAAACCAACAACACUGUUCCCACUGAAAUUAAAAAUAAGUUUCUUUGUUGUGUUAUGUAAAAAAUGCAUUUGAAAAUAUUUUUUUCAAUAAGCCUUACAUGUUACAUGUCAUUUCUGUUAAGUGAUGGACAUGAGUAGUGCGCAGGUGCACGUACGUUCUCAAAAUAAAAAAAUGCUCUCCAGAUCAAAUAACGUGCUCCCCAUACUGGCGCGCUGUCACUGUUCUGUCUUUGUGCUGGUCGUUGUUGAGUUUUGGCACAGGGGACAAUUGAAUAAGAAGGAGCAGGACAAAUAGACCUGCAUCUCCUACCGUUUUUGAAAUAAAGACAGUCAGGAGGAGAGUGAUGAUGAUAAUAUCUUGAAGGAUAACAGAAUUUUCAGUGCUUUAAAAUAAUAACUGUUACUAUUAAAAAAGUUGUAUUUUAUUCAUUUAAUUUUCAGUGUUUUAAAAGUCAUUUCAAUAAAUAACUAAAUACCAUGGGACUUCAAAGACAGAUAUUUUGUUGUAAUGCAUUUGUUCAUUUUCAAUUGAAAUUAAAGCACAUGUUUUCUACAUAUCCCAUGAUAUUUUAUUUUCUCUUAUGAGGUGUAAUACCAAA